rnacentral:lncRNA from 1 species
CUUGGGGCUCCAUCCCAGCGCCCCAAGAUCAUGACCUGACCUGAACUCAGGCGCUUAAUCAACUGAGCCACCCAGAACCUUACUAUUUUAAAUUAUUUACAAUUUAGAUAAUGGAUUCAAAUAAUAAAAAUAACAGUUAACGGCCAGUGCUUAUGCUUGCUAGAGGUGUUUUCUCAUAGUAUCCCAUGAUUUUUUUUUUAACUAAAGAACAAUUAUUCAUUUUCUACCAAGACUUUAUCUUGAGGACAUAACUAAAUUGUCACCACCACCCCCCACCCCAACGUGAAGAAGGGUUAGUACAAUGAAUGUUAUAAAGCAGAUAUGAACAGUUUGAAGGACUGGAACCAACAUUAACUAACAAAAAACUUCCAUCUAAAUUAUCAUAAAAAUGUUUAAGUAAAAAAAAGGGGAGGAGCGGAAGGGGAUGAUGAGGACUUCAGAUUGAGCAAGAUCCUCGCAUUUCAUCUAAUACAUUCAAUCCUGGCUAGAAUAUUCCAAAUGGAAUGGAAACAAGAUUACUAUAAUACAAAACUUCCACUACAGCACGCUGUGCACACCUGUGUUCCAAGCCCCCCCGCCCCCCACACUCCCUGCUGCUUCCAGCUCCACUGUUUCCUGGCCUGUUGGGCCUGCCAACGAAGGAGCACGUAGAUCCUGACAACCUUGUGAAGGAGGUGCUAGGGGAUGAGGAAUCUGAAGCACAGAAGGAUUAGUUUAAGACCCUUCCCAAGACCUUCAGACCCCUAUCCUCUAUUUCCAGCUGGAUGGAGCCUUGUAUGACAGGUUGUAUUUUCCAAAGAUGGUUGCCACGAGAUCUCCUGCUCUACAUGCUCUUCUUAUAAGUCUAGGGAAAUAUGGAUGUGACCAGUGGCUCCUCCAACUCUCAAGUGGUAAGCAGACAACUGUGCCAUGUGUUCGGCAAACCCUGAAGUGUGGCAUUACCAUAGUAAUCAAGAGUCAGGGGCUUAACUAAUUGAGCCACCCAGGCGCCCCUGGAAUAAACUCUUUUAAUCCAUGGUCUCUUUCCCUGUU